UACGAAGGGGGCUAGCGUUGCUCGGAAUCACUGGGCGUAAAGCGCACGUAGGCGGCUUUUUAAGUCAGAGGUGAAAUCCUGGAGCUCAACUCCAGAACUGCCUUUGAUACUGGAGAGCUUGAGUCCGGGAGAGGUGAGUGGAACUGGCGAGUGUAGAGGUGAAAUUCGUAGAUGUUCGCAAGAACACCAGUGGCGAAGGCGGCUCACUGGCCCGGUACUGACGCUGAGGUGCGAAAGCGUGGGGAGAACAGGAGUAGUAAACCCGUAG
rnacentral:rRNA from 1 species